UGUCUUAGUACAGGCCGAUUCAAGGCGAGACCGCGAACGGCUCAUUAAAUCAGUUAUGGUUCAUUUGAUAAGUCCCCCAUUACUCGGAUAACCGUGGUAAUUCUAGAGCUAAUACGUGACCGCACUUACUCCGCCCGCCAGGGCGGAGUGCUUUUAUUAGAGUACAACCAAUCGGACUCCGGUCCGGCAGCAUUGGUGUGACGAUUCUGAAUAACUUUGAGCUGAGAGCACGGUCUCCGCACCGGCUCCAUGUCUUUCGAGUUUCUGCCUUAUCAUGCUGUGGAUUGUAGGCCACGAGCCUACACUGGCUGUUACGGGUAACGGAGAAUCAGGGUUCGAUUCCGGAGAGGGAGCCUGAGAAACGGCUACCACAUCCAAGGAAGGCAGCAGGCACGCAAAUUACCCAAUCCCAGCCCGGGGAGGUAGUGACGAAAAAUAACGAUGCGCGACUCUAUCGAGUCGGCGUAAUCGGAAUGACUACACUUUAAAUCCUUUAGUGACAACCAAUUGGAGGGCAAGUCUGGUGCCAGCAGCCGCGGUAAUUCCAGCUCCAAUAGCGUAUAUUAAAGUUGUUGCGGUUAAAAAGCUCGUAGUCCGAGUUCAGUUCCGGACUGGCGGGCGAGGUCACCGCCCGGUGCUUCGCCUGUGCCAGGAUCCGAACGUAUGCUCCCGGCAACGGGAGCGGAGUCGGUUCGACCGGGGUGCUCUUGACCGAGUGUCCCGGGCGGCCGGCCGGUUCACCUUGAACAAAGGAGAGUGCUCAAAGCAGGCUACAGAUCAUUGUAAGCCCGAAUGUUAACUGCAUGGAAUGAUGGAAGAUGAUCUCGGCUCCAUUUUUAUUGGUGGUGUGGAGCCCGAGUUAAUGAUAAACAGGGACUGCCGGGGGCAUCCGUACUACGGCGCGAGAGGUGAAAUUCUAUGACCGUCGUAGGACGAACUACAGCGAAAGCAUUUGCCAAGAAUGUCUUCGUUGAUCAAGAACGAAAGUUAGAGGAUCGAAGGCGAUCAGAUACCGCCCUAGUUCUAACCCUAAACGAUGCUGACCAGCAAUACGCCGUCGUUAUUCCCAUGACGUGGCGUGUCGCCCCCGGGAAACCUCGAGUUUUUGAGUUCCGGGGGUAGUAUGGUUGCAAAACUGAAACUUAAAGGAAUUGACGGAAGGGCACCACCAGGAGUGGAGCCUGCGGCUUAAUUUGACUCAACACGGGAAACCUCACCAGGCCCGGACACUAACAGGAUUGACAGAUUAAGAGCUCUUUCUCGAUUUGGUGGGUGGUGGUGCAUGGCCGUUCUUAGUUGGUGGAGUGAUUUGUCUGGUUAAUUCCGGUAACGAACGAGACUCUGGCCUACUAAAUAGUCGGCGGCGGCCCUCCGUGGCCCCGCUCGAAGUUGUCUUCUUAGAGGGAUGAGCAGCGAGUCUAGCUGCCUGAGAUUGAGCAAUAACAGGUCUGUGAUGCCCUUAGAUGCCCUGGGCCGCACGCGCGCUACACUGAAUGGGUCAGCGGGUGUGAUCCUACUCCGAGAGGAGCGGGAAAUCGCCGCAAAACCAUUCGUGAUAGGGAUCGGGGCUUGCAAUUGUUUCCCAUGAACGAGGAAUUCCCAGUAAGCGCAAGUCAUCAGCUUGCGUUGAUUAAGUCCCUGCCCUUUGUACACACCGCCCGUCGCUACUACCGAUUGAAUGAUUUAGUGAGGCCUUCGGACUGGCUGUCUUGGAACGGGCUGGAUUCGUCGGGACCCCUCGCGGGGACCCGGCCCACCCUCCAUUACGCGCCGGAAAGAUGUCCAAA
rnacentral:rRNA from 1 species